rnacentral:rRNA from 1 species
AUUGAACGCUGGCGGCAUGCUUUACACAUGCAAGUCGAACGGUAACAGGCCUUCGGGUGCUGACGAGUGGCGAACGGGUGAGUAAUGCAUCGGAACGUACCCAGAGGUGGGGGAUAACGCAGCGAAAGCUGUGCUAAUACCGCAUGUGAUCUGAGGAUGAAAGCGGGGGACCGAGCAGCAAUGUUUGGCCUCGCGCCUUUGGAGCGGCCGAUGUCGGAUUAGCUAGUUGGUGGGGUAAAGGCCUACCAAGGCGACGAUCCGUAGCUGGUCUGAGAGGACGACCAGCCACACUGGGACUGAGACACAGCCCAGACUCCUACGGGAGGCAGCAGUGGGGAAUUUUGGACAAUGGGCGCAAGCCUGAUCCAGCAAUGCCGCGUGCGGGAAGAAGGCCUUCGGGUUGUAAACCGCUUUUGGCAGGAACGAAACGGUGUCCGCUAAUACCGGGCGCUAAUGACGGUACCUGCAGAAUAAGCACCGGCUAACUACGUG